UAUUAUUUUUCAAAGAACUUUGUCUACCUCAUAACGAUUUUAUUGUUUUAUCAAUGAAAAUAUAAUACAACAUAAGAUGGGUUUGAGACAAAUUUUCCCUUGAAAACACUGUAAUCUUUUGCUUUGUUUGCUUAGGGAAGGUAUUCAUUUUCAAGUUUAGGCUGCCCAUGAAUUUGUGAUUUUCCUGCCUUGGCCUUCAGACAUGCAUUCUUAGCAAGCACUCAAAGAUCCUUACCAUUUAAUCUAUUGUCUUCUGAGAUUUUUAUUGUGGAGAAUUCCAAUAUCUUAAUUCUGAUAUUUAAAAAUAAGCUUGUGGGUAUAUGUAUGUGGUAUAAUGAAUUCUCUUCCCUCUACCUUUUAAGAAACAGUCUUUCCAAUAAAUGUCUAGGAGUGUCUUCUAAUCUGCUUGCUCUUUCCUUUAGAAUAAGGGAGUCCCUCCUCUUUUUUGUUGCAGAGGUGGAUAUGUUCCAAAACCCCCAGUAGAUGCCUGAUGCCAUGUAAUCAGUUGAACAUAAGCCCCAGGAAACCACCACAGUGCAUCUGGUAGCUGGGAUGGCUAAGUACCUAAUGGUAUGUAGUUCUUGAAUAAAAGAUUGAUUCAUAGA